AGAAAUUAAAUAUGUGAUAAAAGAAGAUAUUCAUUAAAAGCAUUAAGUUCAUACAACUCCAAGAAUAGUAAAUUAAAUAUACAAAACCCUUAUUUCUCUGCUAGAGCUUCAUCCAGCCCUAGCGACGGAACUCAGCCUUCCAUGGGAUUCUGGACGACAGCAGCAGUGGAGAAGGCUUCCAUCACGACUUCCUUCCUCUCUCCCGUGUCUCCUUCCUUCUCUAGCUUCGGUGGGACUCCCAGAUAGGAAUGAAUGAUGCGGUGAGAUAGAACGGGUGAGAAGAGAAUUAUUGGAUCGGAGAAGAGCUGCCCCCUCCUUCACGUCUUGACUCCCUUUUUAUAGGCUGCCUACCUCUCUCCCUCCUCCCCGUUCGAGUGAGAAGAUAAGAACACGGGAUGCACGUGGGAUAUCUUGGAGAUUUGCUGGGAUUGGAGCUUAUUCGGAAGAAAAGGAUCACGGAGAAGAUGGGAUCUGAGCCGUUGUUCCAAAGCAGAGGGAGAUGUGGAGGACGUGGGAAAUGCGGGAUGGUGCUCACGGCUGAGAGGAAUCCGGAAGUUGUGAAGAAGAUGCACUGGGAGCUGAUCGCGUUGAACAGUUGGCUUGAUCCUUGGAUGCAGGGAAUGAUGCUCACGGCUGAGAUGAAGUUGGAGUGUGAAUGCCGUUGGGAAGAAGCUGAUUUGAUACGCUGGAGACUCGGGCUCUGUUCGGCAGAUGGGAGCUUGGAUGACUCUGUUCCACCCGUGGAUGAUGUAG
rnacentral:lncRNA from 1 species